GUUUCCCCGCCCGUCAGAUCCAGUCCGUUCGGCGGGAAAAGGCUGAUUUGCUGGAGCAAAACGUUUCAUCACCUAAUUUACAAGAGAGCAGGUAGAAGACCAAGGCCCUGCGGACGUUGAGGGAUUGAAGGUGCCAUUCCUCCGCUGAUGCAUGAAGUUUUGGGAAGAAAGCAGAGAGAUGAGAGUAGAAGCUCUGACUGGAACAUGCGGAGAAACUUCCUCUACACUCGUUGCCUGUUGUACAAGAGGAAUUUCUGAGGGUAGCAAUGGACAGUGUGCGUCCUUUGCCACAUACCACCCAAAGGGGGAAGAAAUAUAUAUUGGUGGUGGUGGAUUUUGCCACCAGAUAUCCUGAGGCAGUAGCUCUAACACUGAGGCAGACAGAGAACCAGUAACUUAAUACACCUCUACCCCGAUAUAACGCGACCCAAUAUAACACGAAUUUGGAUAUA